AUUGAACGCUGGCGGCAUGCCUUACACAUGCAAGUCGAACGAUGAACCCGGAGCUUGCUCCGGUGGAUUAGUGGCGAACGGGUGAGUAACACGCGAGUAACCUGCCCUUGACUCUGGGAUAACUGCGGGAAACUGUAGCUAAUACCGGAUACGACCCUCGGCGGCAUCGCCAAGGGGUGGAAAGAAUUUCGGUCAAGGAUGGACUCGCGGCCUAUCAGCUAGUUGGUGAGGUAACGGCUCACCAAGGCGACGACGGGUAGCCGGCCGGAGAGGGUGACCGGCCACACUGGGACUGAGACACGGCCCAGACUCCUACGGGAGGCAGCAGUGGGGAAUAUUGCAAAAGGGGCGCAAGCCUGAUGCAGCAACGCCGCGUGAGGGAUGACGGCCUUCGGGUUGUAAACCUCUUUUAGUAGGGAAGAAGCGAAAGUGACGGUACCUGCAGAAAAAGCACCGGCUAACUACGUGCCAGCAGCCGCGGUAA
rnacentral:rRNA from 1 species